CGUGAAUGAAUGCUGCCUUGCCAUUGUGGGAAACAACAGACUGUCAAUGAGGCUCCUGAAGGCCUUCGAGCUCUUUCUUGCCCUGGAGACUCAAUGAUUUUAUGUCUGAAGGUUCAUAAGUCACAAGAUAUCUGGAAUUAGGUGGUGAAUAAAAGUUCUGUCCAGCCAGUUCUUCUUCCAGCUAAUGACAAAACCACCUUGGAAGGUAUGAAA